rnacentral:rRNA from 1 species
UAAGGAAUAUUGCACAAUGGGAGAAAUCCUGAAGCAGCAACGCCGCGUGGAGGAUGAAGGGCUUUCAGCUUGUAAACUCCUGUAAAGAAGGACAAAAUUCCCAUUAGAUGGGAAAUGAUGGUACUUCUAAAGUAAGCCCCGGCAAACUACGUGCCAGCAGCCGCGGAAAUACGUAGGGGGCAAGCGUUGUCCGGAUUUACUGGGUGUAAAGGGUGCUCAGGCGGAUUUGUAAGUCAGAGGUGAAAUCUCACAGCUUAACUGUGAAACUGCCUUUGAUACUGCAAGUCUAGAGUAUGGAAGAGAGUGAUGGAAUUUCGGGUGUAGCAGUGAAAUGCGUAGAUAUCAGAUAGAACACCAAUGGCGAAGGCAGUCACUUGGUCCAUUACUGACGCUAAAGCACGAAAGCGUGGGUAGCAAACA